rnacentral:rRNA from 1 species
AAUGAUACCCGGGUAGUCCACGCCGUAAACGAUGAGUGCUAAGUGUUAGGGGGUUUCCGCCCCUUAGUGCUGCAGCUAACGCAUUAAGCACUCCGCCUGGGGAGUACGGUCGCAAGACUGAAACUCAAAGGAAUUGACGGGGGCCCGCACAAGCGGUGGAGCAUGUGGUUUAAUUCGAAGCAACGCGAAGAACCUUACCAGGUCUUGACAUCCCGCUGACCGCUAUGGAGACAUAGCUUUCCCUUCGGGGACAGUGGUGACAGGUGGUGCAUGGUUGUCGUCAGCUCGUGUCGUGAGAUGUUGGGUUAAGUCCCGCAACGAGCGCAACCCUUGUCCUUAGUUGCCAUCAUUCAGUUGGGCACCCUAAGGAGACUGCCGUACAAAUACGGAGGAAGUGGGGAUGACGUCAAAUCAUCAUGCCCCUUAUGACCUGGGCUACACACGUGCUACAAUGGACGGUACAAACGGUUGCGAAGUCGCGAGACGGAGCCAAUCCGAGAAAGCCGUUCUCAGUUCGGAUUGCAGGCUGC